GACAGAGGGUGCAAACGUUGUUCGGAAUCACUGGGCAUAAAGCGCACGUAGGCCGUCCGCUAAGUUUCGUGUGAAAUCCCCCGGCUCAACCGGGGAACUGCACGGGAUACUGGCGGACUCGAGGAUGGUAGGGGUGAGUGGAACUCCAGGUGGAGCGGUGAAAUGCGUAGAUAUCUGGAGGAACACCGGUGGCGAAAGCGGCUCACUGGACCAUCACUGACGCUGAGGUGCGAAAGCUAGGGUAGCAAACGGG
rnacentral:rRNA from 1 species